rnacentral:rRNA from 1 species
GAUGAACGCUGGCGGCGUGCCUAAUACAUGCAAGUCGAGCGAAGCGGGGACGGGUGAGUAACACGUGUAUAACCUCCUAUACGACUGGGAUAACCCCGGGAAACCGGUGCUAAACCGGAUACUAUCAGAUGGCUCCGCGCGGCAUUAGCUAGUGGGUCAGGUAACGGCUUACCAAGGCAACGAUGCAUAGCCGACCUGAGAGGGUGAGCGGCAGACCUGGAACGGAGUAACGGUCCAGACUCCUAAGCGUGGCAGAGGUAGAGGAGCUGCCGCGAUGGGAGAAAGCCUGACGGAGCAACGCCGCGUGAGUGAAGAAGGUGUUCAGAUCGUAAAGCUCUGUGAUUAGGGAGCCGGUACCGAAUCACAAAGCGCCGGCUAACUACGUGCCAGCAGCCGCGGUAAUUC